AGCGAACGCUGGCGGCAGGCUUAACACAUGCAAGUCGAACGCCCCGCAAGGGGAGUGGCAGACGGGUGAGUAACACGUGGGAACGUACCCUUUGGUUCGGAAUAACUUGGGGAAACUCAAGCUAAUACCGGAUAAGCCCUUAUGGGGAAAGGUUUACUGCCGAAGGAUCGGCCCGCGUCUGAUUAGCUAGUUGGUGAGGUAAUGGCUCACCAAGGCGACGAUCAGUAGCUGGUCUGAGAGGAGGAUCAGCCACACUGGGACUGAGACACGGCCCAGACUCCUACGGGAGGCAGCAGUGGUGAAUAUUGGACAAUGGGGGCAACCCUGAUCCAGCCAUGCCGCGUGAGUGAUGAAGGCCUUAGGGUUGUAAAGCUCUUUUACCCGGGACGAUAAUGACUGUACCGGGAGAAUAAGCCCCGGCUAACUUCGUGCCAGCCGCCGCAGUAA
rnacentral:rRNA from 1 species